rnacentral:rRNA from 1 species
AGAACGAACGCUGGCGGCAGGCCUAACACAUGCAAGUCGAACGCCCGUAGCAAUACGGGAGUGGCAGACGGGUGAGUAACGCGUGGGAACGUACCUUUCGGUUCGGAAUAACCCGGGGAAACUCGGGCUAAUACCGGAUACGUCCGCAAGGAGAAAGAUUUAUCGCCGAAAGAUCGGCCCGCGUCGGACUAGCUAGUUGGUGAGGUAACGGCCCACCAAGGCGACGAUCCGUAGCUGGUCUGAGAGGAUGAUCAGCACACUGGACUGAGACACGGCCCAGACUCCUACGGGAGGCAGCAGUGGGGAAUAUUGGACAAUGGGCGAAAAGCCUGAUCCAGCCAAUGCCGCGUGAGUGAAGAAAGGCCUUAGGGUUGUAAAAGCUCUUUCAGCGGGGAAGAUAAAUGACGGUACCCGCAGAAAGAAAGUCCCGGCUAAACUUCGUGCCAAGCAAGCCGC